rnacentral:lncRNA from 1 species
UAACUCAUAAUUUACUAAGGGAACUCUCGCAAAAUCACAAAAAAAAUUUAAAGACCCUCGUUUUUUGAUAAAAGCACUAGAAAAUAUUUUCCGCAUAUAGUUAUUUGGUUACAAGCUCAAAUAGUCACUUAUGAGUGAAAAUUACACUGAAUAAUUGAUUAUGCAUUAAGUAUAGUAUAUUAUCUCAUUCUUAAUGCCUCAUAAUUGAUUAUUAGGAUUGAUAAUCGAAUAGUAUUGAUGUAAUUUUAAAUUUUUCCUUUUU